GCAACAUUUUGACAGCCCAAUCUCAAGCUUUUUUAAUGUUGACGUUUGUCAGAAACAAUACCUUAAAUUAUACAUAUCCUACAUAUUAAAUGGAAACGAGACGUUUUAACCAUAACCUCAUUAUAGGCUAUAACAUACAACUAAAGCACAGACUUUUCAUCUUCCCCUGUUUCCAACUCUCCUGAAAUGAAAGCUAGCUGCUAACGUUAAUGGAGGAAGUCCUGACGUUCAUACUGCUGCACACAGAUCAUACAGGUCCUAUUUGAUUAAAUUUCUAUGUAUGGUAUCCAGUGUCAUGACAUUUGUGCUGCUGCUCUAAGCACCCUUUCCUCCGGGAUCGCACAGGACCAGGAUAUGCAUGUAAGUAGAUUAUUAAAGUCAUAAACAUACAGGUAGGCCUACUGGCUGUAGUGAGGGUCCUUUUUUAGCGCACCUAACAAAUAGGGAUAAUGGGAUGGGAUAUUCCUGUCAGGUGUAUUCAGGCUGUUGUAGUCUGCUCACUUACAGAUGCAAUUGAAUCAUGUAUGCCUACUAUGACACUCUUCCCUUCUGUUGGUAUGUUGCUUAGGUGGCAGCCGGUUAGCGCUUCGGACUUGCAACCGUAGGGUUGCCGGUUCAAACCCCGACCAGUAGGAACGGCUGAAGUGCCCUUGAGCAAGGCACCUAACCCCUCACUGCUGUUGUUGCAGGCAGCUCACUGCGCC